UCCCUGGUGGUCCAGUGGCUAAGACUCCACACUCCUGAUGCAGGAGGCCCUGGUUCGAUUCCUGGCCAGGGAA
rnacentral:tRNA from 1 species